UUACUAACCUCCUAGCUCAAAAAUGUGUGAGGCCAGAAGUCUGUCACAUGAACUUGUCCUGUACUGCUGGGACUGUUAAUCUUGGUGGCAACUUUUCUGGCUUCAGAGUAGAGGAUUAAUGGAGCACCCUACUAGAUGUUUCUGGAUGUGUCACAAAGACGUGAUCUUGGGAACUAUAUAUGACCCCCAAACCCCUUCCUCUCUGGCUCUCUUCCCUUGCACUCUGCUUCCUGGUCAUUAUGAGGCGAGCAGUUCUGUUCCACCAUGACCUUCUACCAUAACGUUCUAGCUUUGCAGUCAGUUGACCAUGGACUGAAACCUCGGAAACUUUACAGACUACAAUCCUUUAUGCCUCACAAAAUCUGAACAUCAUCACACACAAUGAGCCAGGUUUCUACUCAGACACAUGGACAUAUAACUUGACUAACACCAAAUGAGGUAACAGGAUUUGGAGAAACUGGGACCCUCACGCACUGCUGGCGGGAACACAGGUUCAACUGGACUUUUCCAUACCGACUCAUACAGAACAUUGGAGUUUUAACUUGGUACUUCUUUAGAAAUGUACUCAGCAUACAUAAUUUAAUAACAAACUGGUUAUAUUGAUACUAUUGGGACCACCUUCAAUAGAAAAAAAGAAUGCUUGUAAGCGAUAAGAUUGUUGAGGGAGAAAGAAAGAGAAAGGGGGAAGGGAGAGAAGGGAGAGCAUCUCUUUCCUCAAACAAAAAUGAUGAAAUAAAUGGAGCAAAGGACAGCGACUGACACUUUAUGUCAAUAACUGGGAAAGAAAGGAAUGAUGCAGAUUGCGUGAAACUGAAGAAUUCCCAUCCUGCCAAAAUGCAGGUGCAAUUC